CUCGGAACACCUAGAAUUACAAGUGACUAGGAGAGCUUAACUGAGCUCACAACCUCGUUCUCUUCUGUGAUCUAUAAAUAUAGAACUCUACUCACCAACUAUGUUCUCUUUUAUGUCGGCAUACCCCCAGCCCCUCAGGAUCUACGCUCAGAGGAAAAGAGAACUGGAGGCCAACUCAGCAGCCAGCCACUCAGACACUGUGAAGGGUAAUAGAUGUGCUGUGCCCUCAGGGUGCCUCCCACCCACAGACUUCAGAGGAUGCCUCCAACACUGAGCCACAGACAACAUGAAUGAAGCACAACCAUGUUCAAGCAGAUCACAGGUCCAUCUACAUGGGUUUUAGAAAAAUAUUUGAGGAAGAAACCAUAGUGACUCUGGAUGACAUGAAAAGUAAGCGAAGCCUGUGACCCAUGGGUCAAGUCAGUUGCCUGCUUCUGUAAAUAAAAUUUUGUUGAACACAGCCA
rnacentral:lncRNA from 1 species